AAAAGCUUCAAGCCGUCAGCAUGGGAAGAAAUGAAACCUUCCUGGCAUUCAUUGAACGAUUUAGCACUGAAUUAGACCGUGCGGGCGAGGGUGGAGUCAAUCCGGUCAAGGUUUAGAAAGGUCUAGCCCAGCCCUGCCUUUGGGGCACCAGCUUCUCCUAUUUUCCCUUCCGGGGACUCUAACUCUGGGCGGGCCUGAGGGGGGCAGAUGGUAGGAGGGGCUCUUUCUGACCCCUAAAUCCCCAAGCUCUCCAGCCCCCCGUUGCCCCACCCGCGUCAGGCCUCGGGCUGGGCUCGGGCCCCCGGCGCUGCCCCGGCUCCCUCUCUGGUUCCUGGCCUCCGUCCUCCGCAGCUGAGCCCCGCUCGGCUCCACCCCAGGCUCCACCGCCUGCUCUAUCGCUGGCUCCCGAUCCGGCUCCCGUUCCCACUCCCGGCCCGGUGUGCUCAGCUUGCUCGGGGCGUCUCCCUACUGAAGAAUUAUGUUGCAUAAAGCAGCCGCCACCAUCUUGAACUGGCAGUGAACUUUGCUUUCUACAUAUAAAUACAGAUAGCAAUCACACCCCAAUCAGCGCAGAGGCUUCAGGGCAUCAUCUCAGCAACUCUAACUUUCCCAUUACGAUAAUGUGAUUUUCACUCAGUCUAUAAUAUCAACAGCCAUGAAUAAAGCAACUGGCUCUUUCUGUCUCUCUUCCCUCCCCGCUUUCUCUGCCUCUCUCCCACCCACCUCAGUGUUUCUUUUCCACCACACCCUCCUCUUCUGUCUCUCUGCAACCCCUCCUGGUGAUCUCUGAGUCUCUGAGCACCUCCGCCUUCCUCUCCCACUACCUCUUUCUCCCCCUCAUCCUCUGGGACUCACAUUCCCUAAAUACUAAUGGCAGGGAUUUGCUGUGCCCCAUGGCUCAGUUAAGUUCUGCUCCCCAGCUCUGCCAUCAUCUGCCUUUGCCUGAAGGUGAGAAACUGCGGAGUGGGGGUGGGGUGGCCAGCUAGGCUUUCCGGAAGGGUGAGGAAGAGGGAGGCGACUCUGCUCCUUCCCUUCUCUCUCCCUCUUUCCUUAGGUACCAGGAGGGCUCUCUGCUAGGAUUCCCACCAAGAAUGCCAAAGCCAGAGGCUUAGGGACCAAAGGAUCCAGAAGGGAGAUCUGAAAAAUUCCUGCUUAGGGGCGGGUCCUGGAGACUCUGAUUUUUCUGAGUAUUGAGGGACCCAAAUUCAACCAGAUUCCAAAUGCCAGAAGAUUGUGAGUAGAUACAGCUGGUGAGAGGGUGCUCUGGAGACGCCUGCAGAAAAGAGAGGAAACUGGCCCAGCGUCCUAGGGACACUUCUGAGUACGGCUCGGUCCUGAGCCUGACGGCAGUCCAGAUUGGAACUGCCUUUGCCAGGACAUGUGAUAAAGGCCCGCAGAUCCUUGAUCAAGGUGUCAGCCACUUUGUUGGAGCUCCUGGAAAGGGCUUCUCUUUCCUUCAUGGACAUUCUCCAGGAGCUGACAUUCCAAACCAAACCUGCUUCUUCGGGUGAAGCAAGAUAUCAUUCAAGUUGGACAGAUACAGAGCAUUCAGUAAGCAAGUACCGGGGAGAGGGGAAAGAAGAGAGAGAACACAAC